rnacentral:rRNA from 1 species
AUUGAACGCUGGCGGCAGGCCUAACACAUGCAAGUCGAGCGAGCGGCGGACGGGUGAGUAAUGUCUGGGAAACUGCCUGAUGGAGGGGGAUAACUACUGGAAACGGUAGCUAAUACCGCAUACAAUCAGAUGGGCCCAGAUGGGAUUAGCUAGUCGGUGGGGUAACGGCUCACCUAGGCGCCGAUCCCUAGCUGGUCUGAGAGGAUGACCAGCCACACUGGAACUGAGACACGGUCCAGACUCCUACGGGAGGCAGCAGUGGGGAAUAUUGCACAAUGGGCGCAAGCCUGAUGCAGCCAUGCCGCGUGUGUGAAGAAGGCCUUCGGGUUGUAAAGCACUUUCAGCGGGGAGGCGGUACCUGAAGAAUAAGCACCGGCUAACUACGUGCCAGCAGCCGCGGUAAUUC